rnacentral:lncRNA from 1 species
UUUUUUUUUUUUUUUUUUGGUGACAGGAUCUCAUUCUGUUGCCCAGGCUGGAGUGCAGUGGCAUGAUCUCGGCUCACUGCAGCCUCCGCCUCUCGAGUUCAAGCGAUUCUCCUGUCUCAGCCUCCUGAGUACCUGGGAUUACGGGCAUGUAUCACCAUGCCUGGCUCAUUUUUGUAUUUUUAGUAGUUUCACCAUGUUGGCCAGGCUGGUCUCCAACUCUUGACCUCAGGUGAUCCACCCGCCUCAGCCUCCCAAAGUGCUGGAAUUAUAGGCAUGAGCCACCAUGCCCAGUAUUUUUUUUUUUUUUUUUUGAGAUAGUCUCGCUCUGUCAUCCAGGCUGGAGUGCAGUGGCACGAUCUGGGCUCACUGCAACCUCUGCCUCCCACGUUCAAGCGAUUCUCAUGUCUCAGCCUCCCGAGUAGCUGGGAUUACAAGUGUGCACCACCAUGCCCGGCUAAUUUUUGUAUUUCUGGUAGAGAUGGAGUUUUGCCAUGUUGGCCAGGCUGGUCUCAAACUCCUGGUCUCAAGUGAUCUGCCCGCCUGUAGUCCCAGCUACUUGGGAGGCUGAGGUAGGAGGAUUCCUUGAGCCUGAGAGGUCGAGGCUACAGUGAGCCAUGAUCAAGCCACUGCUCUCCAGCCUGGGAGACAGAGCAAGCCCCUACCUCAAAAACAAACACACACCUGAGUAACAAAAGAAUAGAUAUGGUAGCUGCUCAAGUAGUGAUGAAGUACACUGAACUAUCCUCUACCUGUGUGUGUGUUCAAAAAUUUCCAACUGAAAGACAAGAUGUUCACAUUGAACUUGUUCCCACCCAUUACCACUCCACUGCUAGCCUUCUCCAUUUCAGUUAAUGGCAAUUCCAUUCUUCCCACUGCUCAGACCAAAAACCUUGGAGUCACCCUUGACUGCUUUCUUUUGGUCAUACCCCCACCUCCAAUCAGUCAAGAAAUCCUGUUUGCUCCAUGUUCAAAAUAUAUUCAAAAUCUGACUACUUUUUUAUCACUCCAUUGGUAUCACCCCAGUCGCCAUCCAGGACACCAUUGUCUCUUGCCUGGAUUAUUAUUACAAUAGCCUCCUAACUGUUCAUCCUACUUCCCAUUCUCCCCUACCCUCAUAGACAUUCACAAGACCAGAAUGAAGAGUGAUCCUUUUAGGAUGCAAGGUAGAUCAUGUAAUUCUCUGUUCAAAAACCUCCAAUAGAUGCAUCCUCCAUUCAAAGAAAGAACCCAAGUCUUCACCAAGGUCUACAAAGCCUGCAACAUCUGGCCCCCACCAUUAUCUUCCUGUCUCAUUUCCUACUAUUC